UCCUCUUAAAACAUCAUGAACCAACACAUCAGCAUUGGAGGCCAAAAACAAAUGGAUUUGGAGACAUGGGACCAAGCUUGUUCCCCGCGGAUCAAGACCAACCAUCUUACAUAG
ensembl:snoRNA